AACGAACGCUGGCGGCGCGCCUAAUACAUGCAAGUCGAGCGAGAAGGUGUAGCAAUACACUUGUAAAGCGGCGAACGGGUGAGGAAUGCAUGGGUAACCUACCCUCGAGUGGGGAAUAACUAGCCGAAAGGUUAGCUAAUACCGCAUACGCUUCCGGGACUUCGGUUUCGGAAGGAAAGCAAUACAGUGGGUAUUGCGCUCAUGGAUGGGCUCAUGUCCUAUCAGCUUGUUGGUGAGGUAACGGCUCACCAAGGCUUCGACGGGUAGCUGGUCUGAGAGGACGAUCAGCCACACUGGCACUGCGACACGGGCCAGACUCCUACGGGAGGCAGCAGUAAGGAAUAUUGCGCAAUGGACGAAAGUCUGACGCAGCGACGCCGCGUGGGGGAUGAAGGUCUUCGGAUUGUAAACCCCUUUCGGGAGGGAAGAUGGAGUGGGUAAUCACUUGGACGGUACCUCCAGAAGCAGCCACGGCUAACCUCGUGCCAGCCGCCGCAGUAA
rnacentral:rRNA from 1 species